rnacentral:tRNA from 1 species
GUCCCCGUGGCACAACUGGAUAGCGCAGCCCCCUCCUAAGGGGCAGGUUGCAGGUUCGACCCCUGCCGGGGACACCA